AACGAAAUAGUUUAAUUAGAAUAGUGGGUUUGCGUCUCACUGGUGGACUGUUUGUCUUUUCGUUA
rnacentral:tRNA from 3 species